GCAGCAGCCGCGGUAAUACGGAGGGUGCAAGCGUUAAUCGGAGUUACUGGGCGUAAAGCGUGCGCAGGCGGUUCGUUAAGACAGAUGUGAAAUCCCCGGGCUUAACCUGGGAACUGCAUUUGUGACUGGCGAGCUAGAGUAUGGCAGAGGGGGGUAGAAUUCCACGUGUAGCAGUGAAACGCGUAGAGAUGUGGAGGAAUACCGAUGGCGAAGGCAGCCCCCUGGGCCAAUACUGACGCUCAUGCACGAAAGCGUGGGGAGCAAACAGGAUUAGAUACCCCUGUAGUCCCUGUCUCUUAUAC
rnacentral:rRNA from 1 species